rnacentral:rRNA from 1 species
UACGGAGGGUGCGAGCGUUAAUCGGAAUAACUGGGCGUAAAGGGCGCGCAGGCGGGCUUUUAAGUGAGAUGUGAAAUCCCCGGGCUUAACCUGGGAAUAGCAUUUGAGACUGGGAGACUAGAGUACGAGAGGGAAGGGUAGAAUUCCACGUGUAGCGGUGAAAUGCGUAGAGAUGUGGAGGAAUACCGAAGGCGAAGGCAGCCCCUUGGGAAGGUACUGACGCUGAGGUGCGAAAGCGUGGGGAGCAAACAGG